AUACGUAGGGGGCGAGCGUUGUCCGGAAUGAUUGGGCGUAAAGGGCGCGUAGGCGGCGCGGUAAGUCUGGAGUGAAAGUCCUGCUUUCAAGGUGGGAAUUGCUUUGGAUACUGCCGCGCUUGAGUGCAGGAGAGGUUAUCGGAAUUCCCGGUGUAGCGGUGAAAUGCGUAGAGAUCGGGAGGAACACCAGUGGCGAAGGCGGGUAACUGGACUGCAACUGACGCUGAGGCGCGAAAGUGUGGGGAGCAAACAGGAUGAGAUACCCUGGUAGUCCACACUGUAAACGAUGAAUACUAGGUGUGGGGGGACUGACCCCCUCCGUGCCGCAGUUAACACAAUAAGUAUUCCACCUGGGGAGUACGAUCGCAAGAUUGAAACUCAAAUGAAUUGACGGGG
rnacentral:rRNA from 1 species